UAACCUCCACAGGCUGAGCCACAGAGAGAAAAAAAAUGAGAAGCACACACUGAAGUGACUUAGCCAAGUAUUAAAAGCCAAACAAAUCCUAUCACCUGGAGAGGAAGCAGCUCCCUGUUUGUUACCAAACUUCCAAGAGGAAGCUACAAUUAAGAUUUAAAAACCAAUAAAAACGCAGUGAAGAUGGAGGUGCAGAACAUUUACAAGAUUAAUUGCAGACUGUUUCAUUAUGUGUGACACUAUAACUUAAUUCAUUCUCAUGGAAUUCAGAUAACUGCAGGCAAAAAAGGCAAAAGCUUUAAUAAAGGAAUAGUUCUACUGCAACAAAGGAAAUGAGCAAGAAGAGAGAUGAGGACACAUCCUAAGUCCACUAAUGGCGGUGGGAAUUUGCCUUCAUCUUCAGUGGGAACAUAUUUUCAAAGACAUGGGAAUCAUCCAUACAAACGGGAGGAUAAAAUCUGAACCUUCCGUGGUCUGUGACACAAACCAGAAGAUGGCCCCGACACAGUGGAAACGUGCCCAGCAGGAGUUUCACAGCCAGGCUUGACCACAGUCCUAUGUGUGGUGCCGGCUGCUGGGCUGGACGUCAUCACGGCCGCAGGCACAGGCAGUGUCUGUGGUAGAGCCCUCCCUGAGGCCGGGCCAGGCAGGAACCAGGCAGAGAUGCAUCCCUCUGGUGAACACUGACCCUCUUGCUGAUUAUGGGUUUACCUUCAAUGCCCUACAUUUGGGAAGAAGAGCAGCGUGGACAGCAGGAAUCUUCCCCAGGGAGAUUCAAAAUCUUCUUCAAGGGCCAAGAACUCUUCCUGGGUAUAUGCUGUCUGCUGAAUGGCGCAAAAAGCCAAAGCAGGAAAGUCCAGAUGAAGGAACCUCAUGAUCUCAAGCACCUUUUCUUUUGGUACUGGCACUACACAGCAAAGUAGACAUUAAAAUAACAGAGUUGCCACUCUUCUGCUAGCAGAAGCAUUCAUCUCCCUCUCAUCCCUUUGAUCUACUCCUUCUUCCACUCCCAGGAUUGCACUACGUCAACUCUUUGUGUGAUAGUGUGCACACCAGGACCUUGUUGUACUCUUGAAGAGUGAGUUCAUUUGCCCCAUGAACACAUGGCCUCUGUAGUUCUGUUUGAGCUCUUUAAGAAAAAAUCCUCCAUUAUCCUUGAUUAUCGAUCACCAAAAUAUGUCUGAUAGGAUAGACCCUUCCAAAUAACCAAAUUGUGCAGAAAAAAAUUCAGAAAAAUGUUCUAUGGGAGUAUGCCCCCUAAGGAAGAAGGCUUCUUCGUAACAACUCAUAAAGUUAUGUUUCUUAUUGGAUCUGUGCUGCCAGUCCAUUGCAGUUCUCAUAAAGAAAAAAAUCACAAGUAUUUUCUCAAUAACCUCUUUAAAAGAAAUAUAUUUACCAUGUGCUGUGUUCUACAUGGCAUUGAUUUUCAGUCCCUAGGGAUAAAGAUGUCUAUGAGCAACCUUUAAGAGAGUCACAGAUAUGACUAAACAGUGCAUGUUCAUGUAUAUUUUCUAGGUAUUACAUUUCUUAAGGAAGCCCAUGCCUCUAUUGGAAAACUGAAAGAAAUUUCAAAAGCUGUGACUUCUUUGCAAGUUAGAAUUUUAUUCCUAUAUUGUAUGUCAAAAUAUCAAUUUUUAUUUGAUUUUUUGAGAGCUUUGCCAAAGAUUCUUCAGGAAUUGCAAGACAACUUACAGUUUCAAUUCUUUUUUUUUUUUUUUUUCCCCCAAGAAAAUGCAGUAUUUCUUUAAUACUGAACUCUGUUGGUUUCCAGUGCCCUUACUUUUAACUAUCACCUUGUAUAAAAUCAGUGUAAGAAAUGAGAAAUGAAGCAUGUGGUUUAACUGCUUUUAAAUUCAUGAGUAGUGCUACUACGUUUUGUGGGAUUAGUUUGAUAGUCCAAGUAAAAUAACUGUCAGCUAGACAGAUAGUGCAAUAAAGGUGAAACACACUAUUGCUGAUAAGAAAGUAACCUUUAUUUCAUGGUCCCAGACUUCUAGCAUAUGAGCACAGUACUUUGUGGGAUUGAGUGGCACUCACCAACAUAACACUGCUGAGCACAAACAACUUGAUUAGAUUAGUUAAGCCAAUGUGGAAGAAGCAAAGUGGAACUGAGCAGCUUUGUGGCCCUGAUCAGGCAUAAUAUAAGUGCAGUUUUCUCUCUAUAUGAGGGAAUUUCACGUAUUAGGGCUAACAGCAUUUGGAGCAAGUCCACUGUAAUUUCAGUGUAGCAUCGGAUGAAGCAUGGCAAUAAAUUCAGCCAAGUAAGAAACUGGGAGAGUUAAACUCUUGACAAAUUUACAAAAGCACUGCACAAAUUCUGUGUGUACUUGUGCAAGGUAUUGAGCAGAAAAGAAAUAUGUUUAUUCUAAGAGGAUACAGGUGUGGCUACUACUACUGUGUACCAAAGAUAUUUUUUAAAAAAUGAAUCCUGUUGAUGCUAUUGGUUUGAAGCAAUAAUUAGACUGGCAUCAAGUUUGAAUGAUAACUCCUGCUGUCUUCACACAGAUUUUCUAAGUUUGUGAUACCAGUUCUCAGGAGCUCUUUAGCAAAGUUCUUAUGUUGCCAGCAUCACUCCCUCAGAAGAAACUGGUAAAAGGGUGAGUCCUGGUUUUCAGUACCUUCUACAGACUGGUCUUCAAAAGUGAAAGCUUUUUUAAAAGUGAUCUUUCAUAAUUACAGUUGAAAAUGAUGUGUUUGCCAAGUGCUGAACAGCUUUGAAAACUGGAUCUGAUGUGUUCAAGGUAAAAAUAAAGGUUUAAGCCUGUAAUAUAUUUCACAUUUAGAAGACUUUUGCGUAUACUCAGAAUUGGAACUUAUGUUUUCCUUUUUAUAGAAAGAAUAAGUGAUACUUUUUUCAUUAUUGAUACAGUUUUGUAACUUAGUGUUUUGAAUUAUCUAUUUUGAUUUUUCUCAGGAGAAAGUUGUCUCUGCAGAUGCCCCAGACUCUGCCAAAUGAUUGGCUUUCUAUCCAGUUCAGUCAUUUACUUCUGUUACAUGUUUUAGACAUCCAUUUUUCCAUCUUAAAACAUCCAAGAUUGUCCAUCUUUACACAUCCAUUAUUCCAUCUGAACUUCAAUUGCAUGUUUUUUCGUCUGCAGGCUUAUAAAAAACAAACAAAAAACACACACACUUGGACUGGAAGGAAAGCACAUGUAUCAGAACAGACUUUUGGAUUUGUUUUACUUCAAACACACACAGCAUCAUGUCCCCAAUGGCUUAAUACCGAAGAGCACUUUAGAAAGUCAUUUGUAUGGAUUUAUGAACAUGCCUCAUAUAAAAAGAAAGGUACAACUGAAGAGCUCUAAUACUGUAAAGAAAUCCACUUAAAAGUGAAGAAAUACAGGAAUGUCUUUAAUCACCCACUGGAUAGUCCUUCAUUUAGUGUACAAGAUCUUCAGCAUUCUCGGAUAAUGGAUAGGAGCGUUUUGCUGGUUUUUAAUUCUUUUUAUUAAAUGUACAGUCUUCUGUUCUACUUAUUCCUCAUUAGCCAGCUCCUUCCCAGGAACUAACUCCAUCCUGGAGGUUGACAUGUUUAGCAUCCGUGAAGCAUUAUGGUUCUCACAUUUGGUCUAGGAUUACCCUGGCUUUAUGCGAAGGUUUUACCAAGCAGCAAAGCUUUUCUUAAAAACCAAUGAAAUGCUUUUUUACUCUAAGUACAUCAUUUGGUUUCAGCCAGGCAGUUUCCUGAUAGUAGUAUAACAGAUUGUCUUUUCAGAAUCCCAGUAGGUGGAAGCUUGGUUUGAGAACGCACUGGGACAUUUGGUAGCACUGAUAUUUUACGUCACAACUGUUAACAAUUCUUGAAAGUAUAAGAAGUAUUUAAAGGCCAGGUGGUUCAGGAAGCUGGCAGUGGAUUACGAGGCAGCAAAAUGUGGGAUAACAAAAAAGGUAAAGAGAGUUGUCUGCUGCAGCUUGCCUUUUGAAACAGGACAGAUGGGAACAACUCAUGCACACAAACAUGAUGAGGACAGCACAGAGCGGUGGAGUGCCUGCCCCUUCCUGAAACAGGAUCAUUCCUAAGGAAACAGCCUAGGGGUGAGGACGCAGGAUUGACAUCUUGCCUGAAACAACAGGAUUAUCUUGUUUCAUCUCUGCCAUCAGGCAUAAGGAAUGAAAGAUCCUGAGCCCGAAGGACAGCAAAUAAUUGCUCCCCACACAAGAUGGACUGCUUCCUCAAGAGGUGUUGUAAAGGAAAAGCUUCUCUCCAUUCAGUGCAGUGACGUUCGUCCUUGUCAGGAUGACAGUCUGUUCCCAGGACCACCAAGCAAAAACACAGCUGAAUGAACAGGUAAGAAAAAAAUUGCAAAUAUCGGUGCCAGCCUGGAUUUUUAUACAUGCAGUCUGAGAAGUUAUAUAUUUUGUUGUAAAAUAAUCAAGCAGAAUGAUGUGCUAAAAACCCUCAACAGAGAUCUGUGAUGAGAUUACAUUCACCUUAACUAUUCUAGUUAAGUUUUUAAAAAGUGGAAGAGAACUUGGUCUUCAAACAGCUGUGUUGGAUCCUCCAUUUUUCAGUGAUUGUGGUUGGUAUCAUAUCAACAAUAUCAGCCCUGCAGUUGUGUAACAAGAUAAUGAUACAAGUCUUAGGGUUGAAAGUUGGAGGUGCUGGUAGGAUGACAACAUGCCACCACCCACAUACAGUAAGAAAUAAUUGGGAUUAGGUGAGGCUGCAGUCAGACAUGAAAAUUAAAAAUAUUAUUUAUUAACAACCGAAAGAACAAAUUAAACUAGAUUUAAACUAUUUAAUUAGAUUAAAUUUAAAAGUCUGAAGUGAUUUCUAUGAUCUUCUAGUCUGACUUCUUGUAUAAUAGAAAGCUGAUUGUCCUGAAUUAGCUCCUUUUUUGGACUGGAUUGCAUUAUUUAAAAGAGAAAACAUGAGAUCUCGAUAUAAAAAUUAACAUAAAAGCUACAAUAAUGCUGGGUAACUCUCUCAGUGGUCAGUUAUGGUAAACUGUAAAUUAAGAUUGUUGUUCUUGGAUCUUUGUCUGCUAGAUUGAAGCUAUGUAUUUUCAGAGGCAUGUAAGAGCCCUCGUUAACUUUCUCUUUGAUAAACUCCAUGAACAGAAAUCUUUGAACCGUACUUCAGGAGCGUAUGCUAAUCCUUUAAUCAUGUUUCAUGUUUAUUCUAUAAAAUCUUACAGAUUUUUCAUUGUUCUUUUUGACUUGAGAACACAGAUCCCAAGUAUGUUUUUCAUCAGCAGCAGAUGCAGAGGAUAUAUAAACCUCCCUACUGUUUCUCAAUAUUUUCUUGCCUAGGCAAUCGAGAGUUAGAUUCUCUGUUUUAGUCACUGUACCAGAGAAGUAGCUGUUAUGGACCAUUACAGUCUCCAGCUCCUUUUCUCUGACUGCUUCCCAGGAGAGCACUCCAUGUGAGAUUUUUUGUAGCCUUGUUCUUCUUUCUAGAUUUAGUCUAAUUUAUCUCUGUAACGCACAGAAGAGAAGAGAAGAGAAGAGAAGAGAAGAGAAGAGAAGAGAAGAGAAGAGAAGAGAAGAGAAGAGAAGAGAAGAGAAGAGAAGAGAAGAGAAGAGAAGAGAAGAAGAAAAAAGAAAAGCUUUCACACUUUUUUUCUAGAAAAAUAAGGCAGAAGGGGACUGCUCGGAGGUUAUUAUUAUGAAAUAUAUGUGAAAAAGGAAACUGAGGACAGAAUGGGACUUCUGAGUCCCGUAUUGGCACAAGCAGUACAUUUGAAACUGAAUUGCAGAGUCCAUGCCUAGAUGCUUUACCAGCUGAUGGAUACGAUUCUGGUAUCAGACAGAAUGUUGUAAUUACAUUUCAGGUGCAUUUAAAACUAAUGUUAUUCUGCUGGUGAAAUAAAUGAAUAGGAAUCAACCAUUAAGCCUUCUCCUAUCAAAGCGAACCAUGUUGUAUUUUCUCUUCAUUAAUAAUUGCACACAACCCUAGAAGAUAAAAGUAAAGCCAUUGGAAUUAUAGAAGAAGGAAAAUAUUAUCUUAGCUAAUGCAUCCUUGUCAUCUUGUACAGCAGCUUUGACUGAAAUGGUGUUUUUUUUAUUCUGCCCUCCGUCUCUGACAUGAAUAGCUACACACCUCAGCAUCAGUCUGUGCAUGCUGGAUAGAGCAACAAACUUGCUGAACCACGUCCAAGCGAAGGAACAACUGUAAUAAGAAGUGUAACUUAAAACCAGAUUUCAGAAUGACUUUUGUUUCUUUGUUCAAUCAAAUCUUACAAAUCUUAGAUCUGACAAGCUUCUGCUGUAAAAUGUUAUAAAACAGGCUGAAAUCUAGGCCAGGGCUAGGGGCAUUCCUGGGAAGCUCGCUGGAUUUCCUGGAGGGCUAGGUGUGGUUCUGUAAGUAGGAGGUUAAUGCCAGUGAUUUUCUGUUACUAGUAAUUAUGUGCAGCUUGAGUUACAUUAAUAAGAGCUACAUAUGCAUACUGGAAAAAAAGAGUUUAUCUGACACUGAGAUUAUUACAUGUUGCUAGUUAACAAUGUUCAUUACCUUUGUUAUUUUGUGAUUAGCACUUAUAAAUGCCCAAAACCAUGUUCAUUUUUUACCAACACAUAAGAAAAAAUGUUCUGUCAUUGAGAGUUUAAAACAGAGGGAUGUCUCCUGAUAUAUAUUCCACCAGUCUUUUUAAUAUUUUAGAACUAAUUGUCCUUGCCUUGUUGUAACUAAACUCAGUCAUUUUGCUUUUUGUUACAAUUCCUGCCAAGUAUAGAUAUAUGUUUCCCAGAAAGUUAUCCCGAGGUGAAAACCCAACAUGGAAAUAUCAAUCUUAAGAGAUUUCAUAAACUGAUAAAGAAAGGAAGCAGAAUCUUAGCAUAGGAGAAGGGCUGGGCAGCCUCAAAUAAAAGUGACUCUACCUUUCUAGUGAAUAGUCACCAAAAUUGAGCAAUAAAAGGGGAAAAGAAGAAAUGACAUUGUAGUCUAGCUAGAAAUGUCUUUUAGCCUGAUUUCAUUAAAAACCCAUUCACUGCAGCCUCUAUCAAGUACUGUAUGAAUACUAUGAUAGAUAUUCUAAAAUUACAGUAGUUUUUUAAAGUAUUUUUGUUCCUUUGUUUGUUUCUUUUUUUGCUCCAUUGUGAUGUUUCACAGUGUCAUAGGCUUUUCAUGGCAUCGCAGCCCCGGAGGAAGCACUGAUUCUCCAGCCUGACCUUUUGCCCACGGUGGGUGAUAGAACUGACCAAGUGAGUGCUGCGUAAUUUCUGCGGGACCUACAAUACCUCCUUUGGAAAAAAAUUCACCUUUAAAGAUUUCACAUGACAAGCAACACUUCACAGGCCUUUUUUAAACCAGAAAUGUCUCUUAUCUCAGCUUUCAACGACUGCAUCUUUUAAAAGGUUUGUCUGCUAAACUGAAGAUUGCUAUGGUGACAACUAUUCUCCUUACUGAGGCGAUUUCACAUUCUUUAGCUCUUGUGUGAUUCAGUGAUGGGCUAGAGAUAAGGGUUUUAAAGUCUCCUCAGUAAGGGCAGUUUCUAGAUACGUCUGUUUAGCCACUUCCUGUUUGCCAGCCUUUGCACAGAUAGCAGACCAAGACGUACUGUUCCACCAGUAGAAUCCUUACUUAGUACAUACAUGGUGCUCCCCACGUUUGUACACCCAAGGACUGCAUUUCUAUGUGCUCUUAAAUGCCUGUCUGUGUUGCUACUCUUCAUAUCACAGUCCUCCAUCAGAUAACUGAUCUACUUAUUUCUUUCCUAGAAAUAUCAGCUUGUAAUUAACUGUAUUAGUUUGCACAUUGUUCACAUUAGCUUAUCUUCCUUAAAGUUCUGUUAACACUGCAGAAUCUAUCCUUAUUAUGUAUCACUUGACAGCUUCUAUCUGCUAUGUAAAUAUUAGCUUAUAAAUUUUGAAACUAAUAAAUGCUUCUUAUUAAUGCUUCCAAGUAGAAAAUGUUCCUGAGUCUUUUUUGCAGUUGAAAAUGUAAAGUAUCUACUAAGAGCCGAACAGCAAAAUAGCCACAUACUGAAAUAUAGCAAAAUAGAAGCAUAAUUAUACAAUAUACCAUGCUUAAUUGUUGAUAAUAUUUGUUGAUUCCAUGGAGUUAAGAGAGAUCUACAAGGGGAAAAACACUUGAGGUAUUCUACUCCAUUACAAAAUAGUCCCAUUAUUUCUACAAUAACAUCUAUAAAUCAAUUUGCAUCAAUUUUGGAAAAGGAGAAAACUCUUAGAUGUAAUCUACACAAGCAGAGAAACAAGCAAAGCUAUUUGCUAAAUUCAGCUCUGUUUAUUACAGAGAAAAUAUUACCAUACAGCACAAGCAUGCCUAAUAUAAAAUAUCAGGAAAUCACAAUCUCUCUGUCAUGUAAGGAAUCACACUCUAAUAAACUCUUCCUUCUUCAGUAUGUGGAGGAAUAUUUUAUUAGGGUACCCCAAGCUAAGUGUAAUUGCCACCAGUAGAAAAAUUCUUCUGCAUCAAGGACCAAAUCCCCCAAGAAACAGAAGAUUUUCUACAUGCCCACAAAGUCAAUUAAAUAUUGUCAUUAAUUGCCUUUUUCCCCCCUUUUUUCUCUUUCUCAUUUUUUCUCUUUCUCCUCUUUUUGUUUCUCCUCUUCUUUCUUUUUCUUCUUUCUUUUUCUUUUUCUUUUUUUCUUUCUUUUUUUUUUUUUUUGGCUAAUGUACAAUUAAUGCAUUAUCUAGUAGUUUUAAUCUACUAGCUAACUAGAAAUGAUGACAGAUUUGUGGGAAAUCAAACACCCAGUAUUCAUCAGGCUGAUCUACUCAGAUUAAAAUAAUGGCUGGCUAUAGCAUCUUGAUAGGUCUUGUGGGAAGCAAUUGUUUUGAUGUCUGAUGUAUUUACAUGUUUAAGGUUGUGUUGAAAUCCAUACAUAAGCAGCUUCUAAAUCUUUUUUAAAACUCUAAUGAGCUUUAAAGUUGGACAGUUAAAUGCAGUAGUCAAGGGAAUUUUCAUAGUAUUUAAAUAAUAUAUUUACAAGUUGGUUUUUUUUUUUUUGCAAGCACGCCACAUAAAAUGCCUUCCUUUUAAAUGUUCUGGCUUGCUUCAUUUUUCUUUAGAUAACUUUUGCUGUUUCAGACUUCCAAACAUUUGAAUUCUUCUCACGCACACUUUUUUGCACAUUCUGAGAUGUUAGAUGUUUCACCAUUGGAAUGCGUAACAAAUCACUUCUCUUCACAUGAUAUACCAAGAGAGUUACACAAAGCUGAAUUGCUGCAACUUUAAGAUGAGCAAGAGGGAAGAUCCAGGGAGCCACAGGUCUGCCAGCCUCACCUCAGUCUCCAAGAUGAUUGUGGAGCAGACGCUCCUAGAAGCCAUUUCCAAGCAUUUGCAGGACACAGAGGUGACUGGGAACAGCAAGUGCAGUGUGACUUUACCAAGGACAAACCUUUGGUGGGAAGGUUGGCUCAGCAGAGAAGAGCUGUGCAUGCUGUUUACCUUGAGCAUUACCUUGAGCAGGCUAGAAGAGCAUUGUGAGAGACUGAUUUGUGAAAUAUGGAGUGGAUCAAAGGGGGGGUGUGCAGUUGGAUGGGCUGUUGGGUUCGAUGUGUGGUGAUCAGCAGCACAAACAGAACUGUCUGUUUUUAAGGGUGCUCAUCACAGACCCGUAAAAAGGCCCAAAUAGUUCAUCUCCUCAUCAAUAUCUGAACCAGUGCACACUCAGCAAGUUCUUAUUAUUAUACCUAUUUUGAGGAGGGGUGUGUGUGUCAAUAGGCUGGCAGAUAAAGCUGCUGUUUAGAGGAGUCUUUGCUUUUUUACCGUUGUUUUCUUUCUUAUUUGAAAGAUUUUUUAACAUAAAAACCAUAAAAAGCAGGAAGACCAACGAAAUUCUAAAAAGCUAGGGCAAUACAGAAUGAAAAUUGACCAAGAAGAUUUCAUUUGGUCUUCUUAAGCAUCUAUACUAUAACAAAAACUUUAAUUUUAGGGACUGACACUUAGUCUGCAUUCCUCAUGCAGUCUUGAGUCUUCUAGGAUCUGAUAGCUGGAAUGAUUCUGAACGUAGUGAAGUGUUCCUUGAACCUUAUAAUAGCUGUGGCUUUAAUGUAUGAUACUAAGUAUUCUCAAAAUAUCCAGCUUUGGGUGCUUCACUCUGGGCUUUGUAAAUGCAUAGAUACGUAGAUACAUUUUCCUUUGGCAGACCUGUUUCAUUUUCCCACCUGUAUGAUAGAGCUAAUACCUUCUUCCCAAUAUGCAAGUAUCAAAUGCCACAAAGAAAAAAAAGUCUUGGAAAAGCAUAUUAAAAUAAUAAUUGAUUUCCAUAUUGAGUUAUGGAAUUAGUACAGACAUUCAGAGCACUUAAAAAGAUCUAGUGUUCAGCCUGAAAUGUUAGAUAAUACCUAGCCUCACUGAGCGUGAUCCCCAUUUAUCCAUUAGAGAGAUUGCCCUAGGUGAUUGAAAAUAGUGAUUAAACUCUGGAAACAAGAUCCAGUAAGGAAUGCAAGCCUGUAAGCCUGUAAGUCCUAAACAGAUGAUCCAGAAAACUACCCACGCAGUUCCUGCAUAUGUACGUUGUAAUUUUACUUUGCUCCCCUAUGUAAUGUUUCCAUUUGGUUCUGGGUAUGCCCAAGUCUGGGAGCAGUCUGGAAGUAGCUAUGUGGCUAAAAAUUUAUUUCAUGUGAUUUAUUUAUUUCAAGAGAUUUUCUGCAGCAGAGAUCCUUGACGCUAUGGUGCUAUGUAACAAAUAUCACAAGUCUAAGCUCUCUAGAACUAAACACAACACAGGCUUUCUCUCAAAAAGUGAUGAUAUCACUCUUAAUUUUUCAUAUGUCAGCACAGCAGCAAUAGAUCAAAUAAGAAGAAUUAAGAAAGUUCUCAGUUUUGAAAAACCUAGGGGUUUGUGGCUAGAUUGUUCCAUUGAAAAGAAAGAUGUGAAUCUCUGUCUGCAGAGGCUGGAAAGUCCUGUCUCUUGUGUCAUAUGUGAAUUCUUUAAGUUUGGAAAUACCAGUGAAAGAAAGCUACUGUCAUGUAGCAGGAAGAAAGCCUGUAGGUUAUAUCUCUCUUUACACAGAGACAACUGUUUUGUUUAGAACACUGCAUUUUCUAGGGCAUUUUUUUCAGUAAAGUGAAUCUUGCAGAAAAGUAAUACAUGCUGUCUAUGUUCAGCUAAUGAAAUUAGGAAUAAAUUAAAAGAAAAAAAGAGAGAGAGAGAGAGAGAGAGGGAAAAAAUAGCAAGAUACAAAUAAAAAUGAUGCUUCCACUACUGCAACUCAAUCAGUGGUAAUUUAAGUAAAGGUUUGCUCAAAAAAAUAAAAAAAAAUAAA